GACAAUGACCAAGGACAAGAAGGGUUAUAUCUUCCCAGCCCUCCAAAGGAGCUGCAUCUCCUCUGUAGGCUUCAUCACCCAUGGUCCUGCAAGGGGAGGAACCAGUCAGGGGGUGCAGUCUGCUGGCACUCACAUGGAAAUUGGCAUCAGAAAGAGACCUCUACACACCUCCUUUGCAGUGCUGCUUCACAGACACUGAGAAGUACAGUUCUGAAAGGCUGAAAGCUCUUGCAUGUAUCUGUAUUUUUCUUAGGUGAGUCUCUUCAAACACUAGUGUAGACUUUGCUUAAAAGAAAUCCCCUUAAUCAAAAUCUAAAAUGAAAUACAGUUAAUAAAUUCAUGUUUUAUUCCUUAGCAGGAGGCUACAAAUAUAAGCCAUUACAAUCAAUAUAUUGAAAGUACAGUAUGCAUUAUUUUUUAAAUAAAUAACUAAUGUGCAACAAUUUAUAGAAUCAUAGAAUUCAAGGCUUUUUAAAGCUGAUAGAAACUCUAAGAAAGAGAGACAUGUUUUUUGUUUGUUUGUUUGCUUUUACAUACCAGGUGGCCACUUUUACUAUUUCAAAAACUAAAUAAUUUCUUUUAUUUAAAGAAUAUGAUCAAAAUCAAUAGGCCAUCUGGUAUUGACACUGGGAAGUAACAUGCGGCAACACCAACCAUUCUGAAACAUUCCAGCGAGCUUUUAUCGCAAGUGGGUGUCUGCUGGGAGCAUGGAGUGUGUUCACAUUUCCAUCAAGCCCUGAUCAAUGGGAAUUUAUUACUACUUAGACAAAUAGACAUCCAGGCUGUGCAAACCAGAACCAGCUGGGAUGUACGCCCAUGUCAGAAAGAUACACAAGUAUGAAAACAGAGUGAAAGAGUUCAAGAAUAUAGGAAUGCCUUUUUAGUCUUUUGCGAUGCUAAUACUUUGCUACUACAUCCUGUGAAAAUGCAAGUGCUAACAAAGCAAAGAUCUUUUUUUUUUUUUUUUU
ensembl:lncRNA